CCUGAUCUCAGGUGAUCUGCCUACCUCAGCCUGCCAAAGUGCUGGGAUUACAGCUGUGAACCACCAUACCCAACCAGAUUUCAAAUUUUUGAUAAGGUAUUUUGCCCUAUGUCUUGUGGAAUAUGUAUGUGUAUUCUAAUUUUGAGAUUAAACCUAUUUUGUAACAGGUUUAAUGAUUAGUAAAUUAUAAAUUAAGAAACAGGCAUUUUUUUCCCCCUAACUUGGUGGUUCUCAGUUGGAGGCAGUUUUGCUCACCACGUGACAUUUGGCAAUAUAUUUGGAGACAUCAUAGCUGGGGGUUGCUCCUGGAAUCUAGUGGGUAGAGACCAGAUGGCUUCCCACAAUAAAGAAUUAUCUGAGCCACAAUGUCAGUGAUACUGAGGUUAAGAAGGCCUGGCUCAUGAGACAGAAAAAGAUGAGGAGGAUUUUUUUUUUUAUAGUGAUAGCAAUUAUGAUGUUAUAAAGUAUUAGUAGUUGACAAAAAUCACCAGUUUUUCUAAAAAGUCAACCUUAAACCUGCUCAAAAACUUUUUAAUGUUCCUUUUUUCCUUACUCCAUAAAAGAGACAGUAAAUACUGUUUUAAGCCUGUAUAAUUUCUCAAGUAUCUUUGAGUGUUGAAGAAAUCUUAGAAAGAGCCUGGGCAUGGUCCACGUCUAUAAUUUCAGCACUUUGGGAGGCUAAGGUGGGCCCAUUACUUGAGCUCAGAAAUUCGAGACCAGCUUGGGCAACAAAGUGAGAUAACCCAUCUUUACAAAAAAUACAAAAAUUAGCCAGGCAUGAUAGUGCACUCUGUAGUCCCAUCUCAGGAGGCUGAGAUGGGGGAUCGUGUGUGUCUAAGAGGCAGGGAUUGCAAUGAGCUGGAUCACACCACUGCACUCCAACUUGGGCAGCAGAGCCAGACACUGUCU